ensembl:miRNA predicted gene, 24806
UGUGAUGCCCACCAAGAAUGUGCUUGGGUGUAUAGUUGUGUGCAUAUUCAUUUCUCUAUAUGAAUAUGCAUAUACACGCAAGCACACACA